rnacentral:rRNA from 1 species
UACGUAGGGGGCAAGCGUUGUCCGGAUUUAUUGGGCGUAAAGAGCGUGUAGGCGGCCAGAUAGGUCCGUUGUGAAAACUGGAGGCUUAACCUCCAGCUGUCGAUGGAAACCAUCUGGCUAGAGUCCGGAAGAGGAGAGCGGAAUUCCUGGUGUAGCGGUGAAAUGCGCAGAUAUCAGGAAGAACACCCGUGGCGAAGGCGGCUCUCUGGGACGGUACUGACGCUGAGACGCGAAAGCGUGGGGAGCAAACAGG